rnacentral:lncRNA from 1 species
AUCAAAUUAAUACACCUUUUGGCAUGUCAGGGUCUGUGGGUAAUUACAGUUUAGUAUUGUGGUAAUAAUUUGUAUGAUUUAUGUUACCUAUAGAGCAGUACUGAAAGCCAAAAAACUGUCUGGCAUAAUUACUGUUAAGAGGGAAGAUCAGCAGAUAUCCCUAGCCAAAGGAACACAGCCCUAAGGGUGAUAGACUCAAACAAGAAGAAGUCACCUCAGGUAUUUGCUUUGCAGCGUGCCUUUUCUCACCUGAGAGAUGGCCCACCCAAGCUACAUUAACAAGAAUCACUUGCUUUUGAGCUGUUGUUUUCCAUCGACCCUGGAGUUCUCAUCUGAAAAAUGAGAUAUGUGUGGUGUGUGUGUGUCAGAAUGUGUGUGGGGCCCUUUGCAAUGCUUAAUUCUUCUGAAAUGGCAGGAAAAAGUUGACAAGAAAAGUGUUUGCCAUGCAUAGAAGACAGAAAAUAUGUCUGGUGUCAUGUUCUCUGAGGGUUAUGGACUGAAGCUUCGACUAAGGAAGAUUAUGAACAAAGGCCAAUAUCCACAGAGGAGUGAAGCUAAAGUUGUUCAUGGAGGCCAACCAUCCUGCCAGAGAGCUAGAAGAUCCACUGUGAGAAAAUGUUAACAUCCUUUCUUGAAAUACCAGUCCCAUCAAGUGCUGUGGGGGCACGAAACUCCUGCAGAAAUUGUUUGGAAUAGAAAAAAUCUGCAAUCUCUGUUGAAAAUCAAGUUUUUGAGUAGAAAAAUAAAUAGAGAAAAAACAACCUGUCCUAAAAUAAU